rnacentral:misc_RNA from 2 species
AAGUCGUAACAAGGUCUCCGUUGGUGAACCAGCGGAGGGAUCAUUACUGAGUGUUACAACUCCCAAACCCUAUGUGAACACUACCAUUCGUUGCUUCGGCGGGACCGCCCCGGCGCCUCUGCGCGCCGGAACCAGGCGCCCGCCGGGGGCCCGAAACUCUUGUUUUGUCAGUGGAAUUUUCUCUGAGUGGCAUAAGCAAAUAAAUUAAAACUUUCAACAACGGAUCUCUUGGUUCUG